rnacentral:rRNA from 1 species
GACGGAGGAUGCAAGCGUUAUCCGGAAUGAUUGGGCGUAAAGCGUCCGCAGGUGGCAGUUCAAGUCUGCUGUCAAAGACCGGGGCUUAACUUCGGAAAGGCAGUGGAAACUGAACAGCUAGAGUAUGGUAGGGGCAGAGGGAAUUCCUGGUGUAGCGGUGAAAUGCGUAGAUAUCAGGAAGAACAUCGGUGGCGAAGGCGCUCUGCUGGACCAUAACUGACACUCAGGGACGAAAGCUAGGGGAGCGAAUGGG